rnacentral:rRNA from 1 species
GACGAACGCUGGCGGCGCGCCUAACACAUGCAAGUCGAACGGAGAUCACUUAGUAGAAGUUUUCGGAUGGACACCGAGUGAUCUUAGUGGCGAACGGGUGAGUAACGCGUGAGCAAUCUGCCUCAGAGUGGGGGACAACAGUUGGAAACGACUGCUAAUACCGCAUAAGCCCACAGCAUCGCAUGGUGCAGGGGGAAAAGAUUUAUUGCUUUGAGAUGAGCUCGCGUCCAAUUAGCUAGUUGGUGAGGUAACGGCCCACCAAGGCGACGAUUGGUAGCGGACUGAGAGGUUGAACGGCCACAUUGGGACUGAGAUACGGCCCAGACUCCUACGGGAGGCAGCAGUGGGGGAUAUUGCGCAAUGGGGGCGAACCCUGACGCAGCAACGCCGCGU